UCCAUCAACUAUAUUUGACACUUAGCAUAUACAUAAUGUUAAUAAUAUGUCGCUGAUCGGAAGAAAACUGGUCAGCAAAUAACUAGCUGAACCUAUCCUUGGCUAAACUAAUGCUAAAAUGCUAACGCUACACACGGAGACUUCAUAGCCACCAUGGCUAAUUAUAUUCAUAAUAUUAUAGUCUACACGUAACAAAUAUGAUCAUUUUACACACAUUUCACACACAGACAAUAUUUCUGACGAUUUAUAUGGAUCGUAUAUGGUUUGCUUGUGAUCACAAAACAUGAAUGAGCAAGGCGGCCAUUGAGUAGCCUACUGACAACAACAAAACACCUUAGACAACUUACCUUGAUAAUUGUGUACAAACUCCUCCACAGAAAACUUGUACCCCUUUGUCAGCCUGGGCUGUGGUGUUGCUGAGUGUGUCUCCACAAUCUUCUGCACAUCUUCGAAUCGCAAUUUGGGAAUACCCACCAGGGAAGUGGCGAAGAAACGAUCCAUUUUUGCAUUGACGGCAAUACAAAAAUGACUACGCCGGAAGAAUGUUUACCCGGUGUGACGUCAUUUCCGAUUUUCGUGAGAUAGGCCGUUCGCCAAGUGUAAAGCUAAAUAUUUAGAAAAUAUUCCAAUCCCCAAGGAAACCACGCCCACUGUGGCUUCAAAUCUUGCGGCGGCGGCAACGAUCGCCUUCGCACGGCAAAGGCAAGCAGGCAUGGCCUGUUCUCUGGGAGUCCUAGACAUCGAACGGGUGGUUAUUGCUGCUGUACGGGCUGCACUCCAGGGUGUAGCUCUCCCGGUCCAGUCCACAACAGCAACGGCGACCAACGCAGUAACCCAGAACGAGGCAAGUCGACAGAGGGGAAGAUUUUCAUCAGUAUUCGGUGAGUUGGCUACUACGUUCACUUGUGUGUUCCUUACAUGCACCCCCUUGAUAAGCCAAGGGGGUACACAGAUAUAAAUAUAUAUCUAUUUUAAGUGGCGCAUUAGAAAAUGUCUUUAGUGUUAUCAAAGAAACAGUUAAUAUUAUGGUACUCUGUAUCAUUUUUCUAAAGUUUCGAUGUUGGGAUUUCAGUUGUAUCAUCGGACUAAACCCAUGCCGGGUUUAGUCCGAUGAUACAACUGAAAUCUCACCAUCCAAACUUUAGAAAAAAUCUUUAAAUCAGCUUAUUUCAGUAGCAGUCACAAAAACGGCAUAGAUUACUAUGUUGACGAUCAUAUUGGAGAAAUUACCACGUUUAAAAUGGAUCGUAAAAUAAAAGUAUGCAUCUUGUCUUCACGAGGUUCAGUUUAUACGGGAUCAGUCCAUCGCUCAGAGCCAGAAGCGGGUUCGAUGUUCGGUUUUCAUUUAGCCCGCAAUCGGAAUGAUAAACAGAAUUGAACUUCAUCACGGGUGUCUGUGUACGUAUGUUGAGGACAGUAUAGGGCUGUUUCCCAAAGUGAAGGCUGCAGCCUUGUAUGGCAAGCCAUCCCCGCCAGAAAGCGGCAUCAUUUAGACGCGUA
ensembl:lncRNA